GUUCCGGAAAUGUCUUAUUCUCUGGUCUGCCUUAAUGGGUGUUAGUGUCUGGAUAUUAAGUCUCUCCCGUAAACUUUGAAUUUCCAGUCAUUGUUUGGACAAAAUUUUCAGUUACUCUUCAAUGACCAAUUCAAUUUACUCCUAAGAGUUCUAUCGUAUACUUAUUUUGAACUCAGAAUAGAUUCUUUUCUUUGUUGUCUGAGAAGUACUUUCUUUAAUGUACCCACCUCCCUAAAGCUAUAGCCAAUGCUGAACCUUAGCAGGUAGAAUUCUUUUGCAUCCUAUCCUGGAUCCAAUCCAAAUUCAAUUUUUGCUCCUUUACGUGAAAAAAGAAUAUAACUUAGGGUUUAAAAGGUGAACAUUUCAUAAUGAGUUACGUUUUCUUCAUGAGUAUGAAUGCACCAGGGGGGUUACAUUUUCUUAACAAAAAUUGCUUUCAAAGAAGUCCACAAAGCUCAAGGAUCUUUCUAAGCCAUUUACAUUGGUCCACCUAUUAGAAGUCAUUGUUACAUCGCUUGAAGCGAUGAAGCGACGCAAAGCGAGGUUAAUCGCUUCAUAGGUGAAGCUAUGCACUUCAAUCAAGUGUGUGCUUCAAGCGACGAUUCAUAAAGUGAUCUAAACCAAAAAUGGUUAGUUCUUUUGGUCUCAACACUGAGUUGGAUCAAUAUCGGCAUUUAUAAAGUGAUCUAAGCAAAAAAUGGUUAUUUCUUGGGUCUCAGCACUGUGUUGGAUUAAUAUCGUCAUUAUUGUAUAUUUUUAUAUUGGAUGUUGAAAUUACUUAUUUGAAUUGCAAUUUGAUUAGUAUAGUACUAAAUUAUUAUGUGUUGUGUAUUUUAAAUUUUCUUGCAAUUGUGUGCUUCACUUCUCGCUUUUUACUUCAAGUUCUAAGGACCUUAUCCUUCUCCGCGCUUUUCACUUUUAAAAUCACGGGCUCUGUUUACCCAAAAGAAAGAGAAAGAAAAAAGGAUAAGGCUCUUGAAAAGUUGUGUUUUACUUCUUGGGAUAAAAGGCAUGAACAGGUGACCAGAUAUAAUUAAGGACUAUUUAUAAAUUAAUUAUGCAUUUAUUAAACAUAACAAGAUGUUAAGUCAAAAGAUUGAUUAGAUUUAUUGGAACUUUCUCAAUAAUUGUUUGGAUACCCUGCUAAGCAUUUCAUCCUAGGAAACCUUCUAAAUAAGUGUGAUAACGUCAAAUACUCUAGAGUAGUCAUUAAAUACAGCAAUCAGUCAAUCAUUCAACUAUGUUUUGAUUUAAGAUUAGUUUGUCACUAUAUGAAUCCUUUACAUUUCUACCCGGUAUUUAGAGGAUUCAUCAUAUUUAGACUAUCUUUAUGCUGACUGUCAACGUGCCAGAACCCUCUGUCUUUUUUGAAGUUUCCGGAACCCUCCUCUUGUAUCCAAUUGGGAUCAGCUUUGCGUUACAAAGCUCACAAAGUAAUAGUUUACUUCGAUUUCUGAUGUUAGAAGGAGAAAUUUAAAGACACUAGAAAAUGACUUCAGUCUUCAACAUUGAGGAUCCCUUGAAAUUUCUUUUUCUGGAUUUUCAUACGAAAAGCAUCAUCAUCCUUUCCUUGGAAAAAACCUAGCCUCAGAUUUCCCACGUGUCAAAAUAUGUUAAUUCAAAGACCAUAAGGCUUCAUACCAAAAACUUACAAUUGGAAGAAGUUUCCUCCCUGUGUUUGACACACUUAUAAGAAAUAUUUCCAUGUCAAGUGUGUUUCAUUACAUUGACAUUCCUAGGGGAGGACACAUUUAAUUUUAUUGAUAAUUCAGCAUUUGACAACUCUUGAUUUCGUGGAUCGUAAGUUAUGAACAAUAUCAAAUAAGCACCUGUACUUCAGUUUUCACUAUAAUGAUAUUUUAUUUUCUUUGUUUGUGUCAGAAACCUACCAACUCAACUUUGAGACAUUUUUUUAUCAACACUCUUCUUUCCAUCUAACUUUGCCAGAAAAAGCUUGCUAGGCAGACACAGUCAAAGAAGAUACAUAAGUUGAUCAGAUAACUAAGAGGUCUGGCAAUUGAAUUUUCUUAAAUUUGUUUUCCUUGUGGUGUGUCAAACUAUCAGAUUCUCCCUCCACGAAAGCUUGUCAAAGUCGUCAAUGGUAUUGUUGCUGGCAAAUUUUUUGUGUUAUUUAAGUAUUUCUCCAUCCCCAACUUGUUUGGAAUUGAGGCGUCUUAGUUGUUAUCAUACUAGUUCUAGACACGUGCGGUGCACGUGCUGCCCAUGUCGAAUAAUACAGACGCUAUAAAUCAUAACUACACAUGGAGUGUAAUGAGCAACAAACAAUAUUAAAAGGAAACUGUAAUCUGAAAUUUAUGAACAAUAAGCAUAUUCCAUUAACUUGAUUAACAAUAAAUAAUUAGAUAUUGUCCGCACCUGAAAAAUCAAAAUUUAGUUAAAUAGAUAUGUAUACUGAAUAAUGUUGUUAUUAGGCGCAAACAUGUGAUAUAUUCAUAUCAUACUUAAUAUAUAUUUACAUGUGAUACAUAAUAUAUGUGAAAGGUAGCACAUUAAUGUUAGUACUGGUGGAAAGCUAAAAGUAGUUAAGAUAAAAAGUGAAAAGACUUGCAAUGUAGAAAUAAAGAUUAGCGGAAUAUUAAGAGCUAUUCCAAUAAGUAGUAGGGUGACAUAUAAAAUAAUUGAACAAAAAAACAUCUGAAAAAGCCAUAUCCAAAGAAUCAUAGCCAAAGGGUUGAUUGAAAGUUCAAAUGUUGGGGGAACUGUGUAAAAAAGGGAAGCUCAAGAAAAAAGAUGGUGGAGGUCGAUUACAUCAAAACUAUAAAAAAGGGCAGCCAGGUGCACUAAGCUCCCACUAUGCGUGGGGUCCGGGGAAGGGCCGGGCCACAGGGGUCUAUUGUACGCAGUCUUACCAUGCAUUUUUGGAAGAGGCUGUGAGGAGAAAAUUAAUAACGUAACUUCUGAAGGAGAAGAGAAGCAUCUCUCAAAAGUUUUUCUUGGGCAUGUUCAAAGGUUCAUUAUGUCUGCUCAAGUACAAUGACCAAUAACAAAGCUCUUAAAAAGUGCAUACAAGGAAAUAACAACAAAAUUAAACUAAAAAUUGAGAGUUCAAAGGAUAAUUCUUUGUAACCAACUAUUAGGAAGGUUUAGGCCUUUGUGGCAAAAAUUGUUGAGCGGCUGAGCAAUUCACCAAGGCAGUGGAGUUUUUAAGGGAAAUAGAAAAAUAAUAGAGUAACAAUUUGACAUAAAAACUAAAAAAUGAAGGCUAAAGUGACUUGAAGUGUAGAAUCACUUUUACGGGGCACUUUAUAGAAUUUGAAAAAGAAUAUGAAAAGUUUAACCAACUGAUUAAACAUGAGAAGCUUUUUAGUUAUUUGGCUGAUAUUGAGUAGCUUUUAAAAAUUAUUUAAAUCAUUUAAUGAGAUUUACAAGAAUUUGAGGCUGGUAAAUUUCUUUCUGGCCAUACGGAUGAUCCGAACGUUAUAUCAAACUUAAUGUUUGGCAAGUUAAUGGUCGAAUUGGCAACUAACAAAAAUGCUUUCCCACAUUUAAGUCCUAGAGACUGAAUUGUACAUCACUUUUGACAUUAUAGGUAGUUCUAACUUUGGAAAGAAUCAUUUAGCAGGCGGUAAUUCAACUUUUAGGAUAAGGUAAAAUGGUCGUUCCUUUUAACUUCUCAAAAAAAAAAAAAAAAUGGUCGUUCAAUAUUAAUGGAGAUUUUGGUAAUUCAACUUUGACUGUAGGGGCUUCCCACUUUUAGUAUAAUAUGAAUAGUAAGUAUUUGUAGUCAAGAAAAUAAAUUAAAUACAAAGAAAUAGAAUAAUUAAAAUGAUUAAUAUUUUCCUUAUAAAAAAAAAGUAUAAUAUGAUCAUGUAUUUCUCCAUUUCACAUAGUUUUGAAACUUUCGUCGCGUAUUCCUCCGAUUCCUUAUAAAAGAUACGGAAUUUUUACUCCAAAAGAAGCACUUCAUGAAGUCACACCAUAAGGCCCAUUUGUUAUCUUUCUUUGAUUCCAGAUCAAAGAUUAAUUUCAUCAUUAAUUUCUUCUAUAUUAUACUUCUUUGUUCAAAGAACCUACGGGAAGGGCUGAUUUGCGGAAAGAACUCGAACUUUUUUUCUGAAAAAUAUCAAAAAGAAAUAUUUUAUAACUCUAAACGUUAUAAAAGGAAGGGCUUGCCUAGUGCGGAUUAUCUCUUUUGUGUGGUUUAUGGGCUAUUGCACAAGAGAGGGGUUUACCCUGUUGCGCACCCAAAAGGUAGCGGCUGCGGAUUCCCUUGUCAUAAAAAAUAAACUUCUACAAGGGUAAAUCCAAUUUCAAAAAUUUGAAAACUGAAUUUGUGCUUGUGGAAAUAAUCGAGUAAUCGAGGAUGAAAAAGAAGACCUGAGACAUUUUGAACAAUGCGGAGUCGAAUUUGUUGAUUCUCAUUUUGAUCGAACCGCCUAGUUUUUUGGUUAUUGGUUUAUUAAAAACCGCCUAUUUUUUUGUUUAUUGGUUUAUUGGAAGGCAUAUUUCAUUACAAGAUUCAUCGUCUGGAAUCUUAUAGUUUGGCUAAAAUAACCUGUGGAGGAGGCUACUCCACCUUGAGGGCUAUUGUAAUAGUGUUUUAGGACAUAAUUGCCCGUUACUGGAAUUUCUUAGUUGCAUAUGCAUUCUUAGCAGGAAUUUCAGCUGUGAUGUCAAAAUCAAUUGAUGGGUUGAAGUGUCCCAUGUUUAUUUAGCUUAAGAAAAAAAAGCCUAGCCAGGUUGUGCAAGUCAAUAACAUUCUGUAAGAUUUUCCUGUUGAGGAUAGUUUGUGAUGGUUAUGGCAUGAGAUUUUAUCCCAGAAAAGGACAUUUAAUUUCUCUCUAUAACUGUCUAAAAGUUAAGUAUCUAAAAGUUUGCUGAACCAGAUCCGUAGGCAUGCAAGCUUCCCACUUUAACCAAGUUAAUCUGUUGCUUAAUAAGGAUACCUAAUCGAAAAAAAGAAUAAGGAACUUGAAUAAAGUUCUUUCUUUGAGGAGCUAUGUGAUUUGGGAGUUAGUGCAUGUAACUUUGUCGUUUGGCAGGGUGAAUAAGAAGAGUUCUAGGUGUGCUUCUUCACAGUGGCUUCUCUUAGUCAUAGGUAAGCAAAGUUCAUUAUCCUUGUUAGCGUCUUCUUUGCCGUUCUCCUUCCUCCUACAGGAAAAAGCAGCAUUGUUCCUUGAUUCAGUUCCCCCCUUGCAUACCAUCAUGAGCACCUUUUCUGAUCAGUUGGUUAAUGGAUAUAUGGGAAGUCAAAUUGUUCGUGACUGAAUAGCUGACCCCUCUGCCUUUUACUCCUAGAGUCUCAGAAGGAGCAUUCUGCCUUUGUUAGGGACUGGUUGGGGAGUGAUGUGAUGGUUGUCAGUUUUGUUACGUCCUUUCAAAUUUUGGAUUAUUCCAUAUUACCACAGUUUGCUUGAGUUGUUCCCUGAUGCACUCGCAGUGUCUUUGCCCUUCUCAGUCUCUUUCUGUGGCGUCUUUAUUCAUGGAUUGCAUGGAUCAGUUAGGUCAAAAUUUUAAAAUUGCUCAUGACACAAUUAAAUCGAGCAUACUGGGGAGACGUUCUGUGUUGGUGCCCAGCUGCUGUAACACGGUGGUCUUGUAAGGACUCUGACAAGUAAUGCUGGAAACUUAUUUGUUUUGUCCUACAUUCUGCCUUUCUGCUAAUAUGUAGGUACUGUAUAGUUACACUACUAGUUAGGAACAUCUAAGAGAAUAAUUUCGCCAUAAAUCAUCUGGAGAAUUGUAAAUCAUGAUGCAUAAACAUGCUUCUGCCAAUAAUCAAACUAGCAAUAUUGUGUGUUGCUUGUCAAAAUUGUAGUUAUUGUGGUACCUCGACAAGCAUUAAUAACAUUUCUCAAAUUUUGGUUGAAGCAGAGAUAUGCAUUCCUUACCCACGCUAGUGGGGUCUUGUGUCUUCUAAUCUUUCUAGGUAAGUUGUUAAUGCUAUUCAGCUUUAUUGGUGAAUGGUGAUUACUUAGCUGGAAAACAUUGUUGGGGUUUAAAGUGACGGUUCAACCAUUUUAAAACUUUUGAAUCGCCAUCUUUUUCAUAUUCCUUUUGCCAAAAAACAUGAGAUCGUCACCAUCGCAGUGUGUUAAAAGGUGAACUUGGUUGCAACAGUUUUGUUUGUUACUGUUGUGUCGUUUUUGCUGACCAGUAUGCCAAAAAUUCUAGGGGAAACAACACAAACUACCCAUAAAAUCUAAACUAAUUACCCGUUGUUGCCCCUACUAACACUAAUUACACCAAUACCUAUUCGGCCGAAAUAAAUUACCCGAGAUACCCCUCUUCUAAUUACCCACAUACAUUGUCUAUUUGAUUCCUCCUUCCUUCUUUUGAAUAAUACAAUUUACCUAAUUUUUUAAUCACUUUUGUUAUUUUGUCUUUUGUGCCUUUUUUUGUUUUUUAAUUUUUCUUUUUCUUUUAAAGAUAAAAAUAAAUAUAAAGAUAAAAUUAUUAGCUAUUUUUUUAUACUAAUAAAAAUAUAGAAAAAAUUAAAUAAUUAGAUACAACAAAAAGUGAUUAAGAAAAAUACUAAGGUCGCUAACUUGUUUAUUAAAGCAUAAAUUAAUAGAAAAAUCUUUUAUAUUUUUUUAGAAAUAGAAAUAAAAUUUAUAUUAACAUAUGACUAUUUUUUCUAUUUGUUUCACAAGUACGACUUGCUAAAAUGAUAUAAAAUUAAAAUAUCAAAAUUUUGCUUAAAAUCUACUAGUAUAUAAUAUAUACUAUGCUGGUAAAUAGAGGACUAGAGAGUAUUUUGAAAGAAUGAACCAAUCUUUUAUGAUAUCCUGUUAAUAUAUGAUAUAUAUCAAGUGAGUAUCAUAAAGGACUGAGAAGUUUUUUAAAAGAAUGAAUGAUAUCCUAUUAGUAUGACAUAUACCAUGUGGGUAUUAUAGAGGUGAAGAGGUCUGAGAUUUUUUUUUUUAAAGAAAUAAGUUGUGUUUUUCUUGAAGAAAUGAACCAGUCCUCUAUGAUAGUAUGUCAGUAUAUGAUAUAUAUCAUGUGAGUAUCAUAGAGGGCUGAGGAAGAAUGUACAAAUCAUUUAUGAUGCCUUGUCGGUAUAUGCUAUGUAUCAUAUGGAUAUCAUAGAGGACUCGUAAUUUUUUUAAGGAAUGAACCAGUCUUCUGUAAUACCCUAUAAAUAUAUGAUAUACCAUAUGAGUAUCAGAGAUGAUUGAGUUGUGUUUUUCUUGAAGAAAUGAAGUUAUCUUCUGUGAUAUCCUGUUAGUAUAUGAUAUAUACCAUGUGGUUACCCUAGAUUGCCGAGGAGUGUUUUCUUUAAACCAAUGAACCAAUUCUUUAUGAUACCCUAUUAGUAUAUGAUAUAAACCAUGUGAGUAUCAUAGAUGACAAAAUAGUGUUUUUCUAAGGGUUGAAUCUACCAUCUAUGAGACCCUGUCAGUAUAUGAUAUAUACGAGGUUGGUAUCAUGGAGGACUGAGUGUGUUUUUUAAAGAAUGAACCACCACUCCUGUAUGAUACCCUGUCAGUACAUGGUAUACCAACUGGGUAUCAUAGUCUACUACAACAGUAUACUUCAACUGCUACUUAUUUGAUAGACUAUAUGCUAGCUAAUAAAUUAUUUUUUGAGAUAUAAAAAAAAUAAACAGAUAAGAUAAUAAAUCAGUUAUCCUUUUUAUUGAUAUAAACAAAAGGACAAAAAAAAAAAAAACUAAAUAAAGGAGACAAAAUGUGUGAAGAAUUAGAUUAUGAAAAAAAAAAUGAAAUAAAGAAAAAGAUAGUUUGAAAAGAAUGAAAUUAGAAAAGAAGAAAAAAGUAAAUGAAAAUCACUAGAAAUUUAAAAAGAAAAAUAAAUAAAAAUAGCAAAAACGGUGAAUGAAAUUAGAUUAUGGAGGUAAAAAAGAAUAAAAGAAAAAGAAAUAAAUGAAAUUAAAAAAGGAACAAGAAAUCGAGAAGUAUAAAAAAGAAAGAAAAUAGAAAAAUUUGGGAAGUCAGGUAGUUCUUUUUUUGACUAUGAUUUUCUCUAACUCUUUUCAAUAUUGUGAAGUAUUAGUUAUGUAGAUUUAUAGUAAUUUUUAUGUUGUUUUUAAAUAUGUAAAUUUUAUUAUAAAAUACUUCAAAAAUAUAUACUCGAAAUUGAGUCAAAGAAAGAGUUAUUCUCCAAAAAGGUCAACCUCACAUAAAUUGAGACGAAAUAGGUAUAUAUCUUAAAUACCUAACAAUAGAUAAAACUUCAUAUUUUUCAAAAAACAAAAAGAAGAUAAAAUGUCUUAUCACUCAUUGAUUUUAUUUUUAAAAAACUUGAUUGUAUAAUUUACUUGUGUUUAUCCCGAAUUUGGAUAAUCAAUUAAAUUUGUGAGUGAGUAUAGGAUAUGUGGUUAAGCCUCAAUCUAUUUUGGUGGAAAAAGAUAUGUAUGGAUAUGAUAUGAAGAAAGUAAUACUGAUCAGAGAUUCGCUAUAGAUUUAUGUGUCUAUUAAUGAGUAAUACUUGAUUGAACAAAUUUAAGAGAUGAACACAAUGAAUCCGGACCUGAAUCCGAUAUUGAGAGAGAGAUUUGUAUAUAUUUUCUAGUACAAAAUGUUCUUGAUAUGAGGAAGACAACCCCUCAAAAGUGGAGCAAUGACCCUUAUUUAUGGUAUUGUCCCAUGGGCUUCAUACAACAAGAGGCCCUAAAAAAUAAAGAAAAACUCUGAAAUGGAUUAGGUUGGUCGUACGGUCUGACACCCGUACGAUUGGCAGUUAAACAUGGCAGGACGUUAUCGACGCGUGGCAAUCGCGUAACGGACCUCCCGGACCAACGGCCACGAUCAAACGGACUAACGGCCACAAUCAAACGGAUUAACGGCCUCGAUUAACUUGGCUAUGGAGAAACCGGACCAAAUAAUGUUCUUCCCUCUCUUCCUUCGGUCUCUGGUCCUACCGGUUUGACAUAUAUCCGGUUUUUACCGUAUACAGAUAGUCCCCACACUUUCCGGACCGUAGUUUUAUCGGAGUAACGGGAAGUGGAUGCAUCAAGAAACCGGUGGCUCAAUCUAUCCGUUGUUAUCUUUUCAUUUUGGCAGGAACAGUUGUCACGUCCCUCUGUCAUCGGCCACGUGUUCUCAUCCCGGAUGGUCAACUCUGACAACCGCCGUAACACACGUCGCUUCAAGUCAUUCCUCAUUAAUUAUGGGACCCGUGGCACUCCUUGGUUGGCUGGGAACUGUAACCGCCUCGACCCCAUGUCUAUAUAACGUCUCCCAACACUUCAUUUUUUCAUUUUACGAUCCCUUUAAUCUCAUCUUCAAUCCUUCACUUCAUUUUCUCACAGCUUCAGUUCUUCAUUUCAUCUCCUCGCUUACUUUCUUCCAAUUCACAUCUCUCGUUGAUUUGUUCCUUAUAGUACGUAAAAAAGGAACGAUUCUGCCAACUUCACCACCUGUUGUUCUUGUGUGUUGCUGCUUCUUUCUUUCGUUCUUUACCAUUUUUGAAUUCAUUGAUUGUCCCCUUCACUUUUUAACUUCCUUUUCGAAAUCACCCAAUCUCUCUUUUCCAUAUUUUCAAAUGUCUGCCAACACCGAAACUACUUCCCAUGACGUCCCCUCGGUUUCUUCUUAAGGAACCGAGCCAACUUCUCCAGCCAAGGGGAAGGUCUCCUUCGAACCUACCACUUCGGACAUUGUACCGGCCAAACCUAAUUUCAACAAAGACUUCGAGGUUGAAAAACCUUCUCCGGUAUCCGAUAGAGGGUUCGAUGUGAGACGAUAUCCCCCAUCCAUUACCGAGGAUAAGCUUGACUUAGUCCGGGCUGAUUGUGGAUGGAACAGCCGUUCAGUCCAAGUUUUUUCCCCCGGGCCGGACGAAUCAAUCACCAACAAUCGGGAAGGCUUCUUAUACGUUUAUACUUACCCUUUCACCUUCAAGCUCAACCCCCCGGUCGAUCCGGUCAUCUUAGACAUGUGCUGGACUUACAACGUGACCUUGGCACAGAUUGGCUCAAUUGUUUGGAGGGCCGUGGCCUGCCUCCGGCUGUUGUCCAAUAAUGCAGAAAAGGAAUUCACGCUGGCCCACUUAAUACGACUAUAUUCCCCGAGGUUGUUCCGGGGUGGUGUAAUAAAACUCGCAAAGCAUAGCCGGAAUCCAAUUUUUUCAAAAAUGGACGAAGAUAGAGACCGGGGAUGGUUGGAGCGAUAUGUCCGGGUGCGGACCUCGGACAUCAUUCCGGACAACUACAUGCCUUUCCCGGAAAGGUGGAACAAUAAGCCUGUGGGUUGGAUUCCUCUGGUCGUUCGGAAUCUCAACGAAUGGGUUACUGCUCUCUUUAGCCAACAUGCCCACGACGAUCGGACAUGGGGUCACCUGUCACGUGGCCGAUGGGUCGCCCAGAACCACGGUAAUACUUUGCUCCUAUCCGUUAUUCAUUGCAUCUUCUACCCUUCUGUAACAUCUUCGAUUCUCAGGUUUACCUAAAGGCUCGGUGGAUCCAAGGCCGGAGUCAGCAGCCGAACCCGCAACGUCGGUACCUGAGUUCGAUUCAGCGGGUGCAUCUCGUAUCCUUGCUGCCGCCGCCAAGAGAAAAAGGCCCUCAGACAAAGGGCAGAAACCGAAGAAAAGGGCGAGGAGUGUCGUUAGGACUUUAAGGGAUGAAGCAGAGCCCGAGCUCCUCGUUCGGAGGAUCAGUGUUGCCCCUUCCAUGGCUUCCAUUCCGGAGGGGGGCAUUACCGUUUCACCACCUCCUUCAGCUGGGGAAGGACCUUCAGCUCCGGCAUUAUACACAGGUGAAGAAGAAAUUCAUUACCUGACUCCUCUAAGGUCGAUUGAAUUCAUUGAUAUUUCAGGCGAUGUUUCUUCCGAAGAGACCCCUCUGCAAAGGACAAGAAGACCUUGGGAGGCACCCGCUGUUGAAGCUGGUCAAAGGACUGAGCCGGUCCCGGAGACCGAAGUCCCCAUUAAUGUUCAUCCGAUGCCCGACCAUGAGGCUGCUGCAACGUCGGAGAUCCCUGCCUUUGCCGAAGCUGCUGAAGUCCUUCCAAGUUCUCCAGCCCCGGCUUCAAGAUCGGAUGAGUUCGAAGACAUGUUUUUGGACACCCCUCCAGCUACCGGCGAAGCUGCUGGUUUCGGACAUCUCCCGAUCCCUUGAGCCACGAGGGAGGCUAGUCGGACCACCGAGUCCGGUGUUAGGGAUAGCUUGGUCCGCACCUUUCUGGCCCCUAGUGUGGAACCGAGGAGGACAAGAUCGGCUGUGAUCACCGUUCCUGAGGAUUGCAGUUUUCUUUCUCGCCCGGUGGGCGUGGCAAGCUACCUGAGGCCCCUUGUCUCAGACUCGGACAAACGAAAGAUGAACGGAGUCCCUUGGCAGUGCCUCAUUAACGAGGGUAUGCACGCGGGCAAUCGAAGUGUGGUGCUUGUCAACAAAGCCUUUGUCCGUGCUCAGCAAGAGGUGGACGAUCUUAUGGCCCAGAUAUGUGAUGAUCUAAAAACCGAGCUCGCGGAGACGGUCGAUGCUAAUGAUACUCUCAAGGCCGAGCUCGAGUCGGCCACUCAAAUGCAAAAUGUCCUCGAAGAGGCUCGGGAUGUUCUGGUGGCAAAGCUAGCCCAGGCCGAGGCCGAUUUGGAAGAAUCUCUAAAAAGCGUGGAGGUCGCCGAGGCUCAUACUACUAUUACCGCUGAGUAUGAAAAGUGGAAGUCUCGGAGGAUCACUCUUGAGCAAGCCGAGCAUGGCUUUGCGGAUCUUCCGGCCCUGAUACUCGAGGUUAAAAGAGUCGAGGAAGAGGCUAAGGGUGCCCUCGGGGCUGACUCCGAUGACUCCGAGCGGACAGUGUCCGAGCACUCCGGAUCCAGCCAUACCAGAUAGAUUAGGGCCUAUACUUAGCCUUUUAUUUUUUGUCUUUUGCAGGAGU